rnacentral:rRNA from 1 species
GACGUAGGGCGCGAGCGUUGUCCGGAUUUAUUGGGCGUAAAGAGCUCGUAGGCGGUCUGUUGCGUCGGCUGUGAAAACCCGGGGCUCAACUCCGGGCCUGCAGCCGAUACGGGCAGACUAGAGUUCGGCAGGGGAGACUGGAAUUCCUGGUGUAGCGGUGAAAUGCGCAGAUAUCAGGAGGAACACCGGUGGCGAAGGCGGGUCUCUGGACAGUUCCUGACGCUGAGGCACGAAGGCCAGGGGAGCAAACGGG